GUAAAUGCGAUGAAGUGGAGUAGUAAGCAUGAUAAGCUUUCAGAGAGCCGUUGGUUGGUGCAAAACGGUAGCUUCUCCUGCUGAAACUCGCCACGGAGUAGGUAUACCGAAGUUUAGUAGGUAUACACGGUUACCGCCGUUACAGGUUCGAGUGGGCGUAUGCCAACAAGAGUGGUACCGCGGAAGUGAAGUCUUUCGUCUCUUUA
rnacentral:ncRNA from 1 species